rnacentral:rRNA from 1 species
AACGAACGCUGGCGGCAUGCCUAACACAUGCAAGUCGAACGAGACCUUCGGGUCUAGUGGCGCACGGGUGCGUAACGCGUGGGAACCUGCCCUUAGGUUCGGAAUAACUCCCCGAAAGGGGUGCUAAUACCGGAUAAUGUCUUCGGACCAAAGAUUUAUCGCCUUUGGAUGGGCCCGCGUUGGAUUAGCUAGUUGGUAGGGUAAAAGCCUACCAAGGCGACGAUCCAUAGCUGGUCUGAGAGGAUGAUCAGCCACACUGGGACUGAGACACGGCCCAGACUCCUACGGGAUGCAGCAGUGGGGAAUAUUGGACAAUGGGCGAAGGCCUGAUCCAGCAAGGCCGGGUGAGUGAUGAAGGCCUUAGGGUUGUAAAGCUCUUUUACCCGGGAUGAUAAUGACAGUACCGGGAGAAUAAGCACCGGCUAACUCCGUG